rnacentral:lncRNA from 1 species
CUCACCACAACCUCCACCUCCUGGACUAAAGUGAUUCUCCCGCCUCAACCCCCUGCCCCACAAGUAGCUGGGAGUACAGACACCACCCACCACGCCCGCCUAGCCUAAUCUUUGUAUUUUUUGUAGAGAUGGGGUUUCACCAUGUUGCCCAGGCUGGUCUCGAACUCCUAAGCUCAAGUUAUCCACUGCCUCCGCCUCAGCCUCCCAGAGUGCUAGGAUUACAAAUGUUUGAAACAUCUCCUUCCUUGACUAUCAGCCAAACUACAGUAUCUUCAAGAUGCCACUAAAUUGUCUUCUGCUCUAUAAAGGCACCACUGACGUAGUGCAGAAUUGGCAUUCCUUCUUUGAACACCCAUCUUACAUGGUGCAGAGUUGUAAUAUUGCAUAGUCCAUUGAAUUGUUAUCGCUUAUUUAUGUGGCUGUCCUCCACCUUCAUUCCCAGAAUUUAAACAGAGAUCAGUCUUAUUUUCCUUUGUAUUCCCUUCCGCUACCUAGCAUUGAGCAUAUACGAUCUUCAGUUGUUGUUUAAAACAUA